UAAUGGUUGACCUCGGAUCAGGUAGGACUACCCGCUGAACUUAAGCAUA
rnacentral:rRNA from 1 species